CUUAAGUGCAGCCAUGAGUUUCCGUGCCCAACUUUAUCGUUCGUCUUAUUUGAAAUUUUUUUAUGAUUAGUAUUUCUAUUGUUAUUAGAUGAUAAAACAUGAAUAGUACUUUAUGUGUGACUUAUGUUUUUAUUGUUUUUUAAAAAAAAUUCAAAUAACACAGACGAUCAAAGUUGGGCACGGAAAAUCAUGGUUGCACUUAAA
rfam:Oryza glumipatula chromosome 8, whole genome shotgun sequence.